GACUUGAUAUGUAAUAUACUAUUAUAGGUAGCACAAAGGGAGCACGUGACGUGAUGAGUAAGGACAGAACACUUCUAGGAAUGAAAGCAAAUCAUUCCUCAUUAUGUAUACCUCAUAUGCGUUAUUUUAGUAAGUAGAUGGAGAGAAAGCCCCAUCUAUGAAAAUACUCACCUUCCUUAGAAGGCAAAUACUGUGUUAAGAAACUUAUAAUCAUCGUUUUUAGUUCAAUAAUUUGAAGCAACAUGUUUGCAUUUCCAAAUCAAAGUAUGAAUCCACCCGGACUCUCAUCCGGAUUAGGGGCUGGUGGAGGUGAUAAACAGUUCAAUCGACAGAUCCUACUCGAAUCCAUACGAGAGUUUGAUAGAAAUAAAGGACUCAAAAGAGGUAUACGAACCAACGAUCGAAGCCAUCCCAUGAUACAUUUACCAAAGUCUGUGGAGAACGUUCCAGGGAUCCAAGUCUCUAGAGGAGGAGGAUCCAAAGGACCCAAGGCAUUGGGGGAUUUAUUUUCAGGAGGACUCAUGCCCUCAAUACAAUCUUUGGGAAAAGGGUCCAACUUCAAAAAAUGAAUGUUUUGGGGUGUCUGUGUUUAUUUGGAAACCUGAAAAAUGUAUUAUACUUUCCUAUUCUUAACUCUUGAGAGGACAAUUAAUUAUUCAUCAACAUAUCCAUGAAGUGACCACAGUUUUUCUACAUUUAAGUAUUUGUCCUUCCUGGACUCAGAGUAGAAUUGAGUAAUUCUUCCGACACCCUUAUGGUGUAUUUGUGUCUUUUCCCCUCUCUCCUUCUUAGCUGCGUGUAUGUGAUCUAAUGAAACGUCAUGACAGCUAAGCUGCUCUUCUCCAAAACAUGAUGUAAUUUGGGUUUUUUUAUAUAGCGAAAAUCUUUAGGAUUAACAAUUCAAAUCAUGUAUUAUAUUAUAUGUACAAAAUAUCAAAUGUGUCUCAUUCAAUUUGUAAUAAUAAUCAGUUAUAAUUCAUUCAUCAUUAAUAAUAAUUUUAAUAAUAAUCUCAAUAAUAGUAAUGUAAUAAUGAACAAUUUAUUAAAUGUAUAUUCAGUAGAAGAUAUAGGUAAUUAUGUUGUAAUGAUUGUUCUUUUGCAUAAUAUUAUACGUAAUUAUAAUAAUUAAUUAUGAGUGUUGUGGAUUCAUGGGUCUGUGUGGUGUUUAGAGAUUGACUGUCUAUUUGUGAGUCUUGAAUUGUGCAAGCGAGGAGGGGAAGAUGAGAAUGAUGACAUAACAUUUACAAACAUAAACUGUUUGAUUCUACAUAUUAUGUAAGUACCAGGUGUUUCAAAAGUCAUGGAAUGUUAUUUAAAUGACAAUUUAAGAGGUUUUGUUGUUGUUGUUUUUGUAAAAUUCCCUUUUUGAACUUUUGACCAUAGUAUUUAGAAUGUGGUCAGAUUAAAUUAUCGUAAGUGAAAAAUGCAACUUCCAAAGAAAGGAGGUUGCCCUUUUAAUCCUCACCGGUUAUACCAACAUCAAGGUCAUCUUAGUCAGCAAUCAAACUGUCUGGAGGGACAGAAAACGAUUUGAAGCUAGAGAUAACAUUAAAAACAAACCUCAAAGUGUUCGACCAUCCAAACUAACUCCAAAAGCUGCCCGAGUUGCCUUGGAAGCCAAUCCAAGAAUGAAAAUGACGAAAUUGGCUGACAAAGGCGCCAUUACCAAGUUAACAGUGUCAAGAGGCUUCAGAAGCUACCUUUAUUUA
rnacentral:lncRNA from 1 species